rnacentral:rRNA from 2 species
GUGGGACAAAUGAUUGGGGUGAAGUCGUAACAAGGUAGCCGUAUCGGAAGGUGCGGCUGGAUCACCUCCUUU